UACGUAGGGUGCGAGCGUUAAUCGGAAUUACUGGGCGUAAAGCGUGCGCAGGCGGUUAUGUAAGACAGGUGUGAAAUCCCCGGGCUUAACCUGGGAACUGCAUUUGUGACUGCAUAGCUGGAGUACGGUAGAGGGGGAUGGAAUUCCGCGUGUAGCAGUGAAAUGCGUAGAUAUGCGGAGGAACACCGAUGGCGAAGGCAAUCCCCUGGACCUGUACUGACGCUCAUGCACGAAAGCGUGGGGAGCAAACAGG
rnacentral:rRNA from 1 species